AUGAUGGGUUUUCUCUUUCUCAUCUCCCACGCCCAAAUCACCCAAAUCACAACCAUCUUACAACCUCCAUUCCACCGCUUCUGCUCCAACCAUCGCCGCCAGCCCUGAAGAAACCCUAUACAAGGUAGGGAGACAUAGUGUGAUGACUUGCAACCAUGGGGAGGUAAAGUGCAAAAAAUGGAAGAUAGGGAGACAAAGUGAAAGCGCUACCAAACAACAGAGAAGCAAAUUGCAGUUUACUCAUAUUUAUAUUUAUGGAGGCUAAUAGUAAUGGUGGGUAAUGAUAGAGACCCGCUGAGGCUUAUCAUAACCCUGUUAAAAUACUACUAAAAUUAAUUAAGACAAGUAUAACCUAUUAUAAUUGAUAGAGACCCAUAAUCGUGUUAAAAUACUACUAAAAUUAAUUAAGACAAGUAUGACCUAUUAUAAUUACUUAUUACAAAUCUAGUCACUUGUGGUCAGUCAUGGAUGAUCACGUAUGUAAUUCAUAUUCAUAAAAUAGUUAAUUAUCGAAAUGGUCAAUAAUGUGCUUUGCCAAAGUCACACAUUUGGAUGCUA